GCCUGGGUGGCUCAAUUGGUUAAUCAUCUGACUUUGGCUCAGGUCAUGAUUUCUUGGUUUGUGGGUUCAAUCCCCAUGUCAGGCU
rnacentral:tRNA from 1 species